rnacentral:rRNA from 1 species
GACGAACGCUGGCGGCGUGCCUAACACAUGCAAGUCGAACGGGGGUAGCAAUACCUCAGUGGCGAACGGGUGCGUAACACGUGAAGAAUUUGUCUAACGGCGGGGGAGUAGCCGGCCCAACGGCCGGGUAAUACCGCGUACGACCUCUGGAGGGCAUCCUCUGGUGGUGAAAGCCGCAAGGCGCCGAUAGAGAACUUCGCGGCCUAUCAGCUAGUUGGCGGGGUAAUGGCCCACCAAGGCGACGACGGGUAGCUGGUCCGAGAGGAUGACCAGCCACAUUGGGACGUGAGACACGGCCCAGACUCCUACGGGAGGCAGCAGUGGGGAAGUAUUGCGCAAUGGGCGAAAGCCUGACGCAGCGACGCCGCGUGUGGGAUGACGGCCUCGGUUGUAA